rnacentral:rRNA from 1 species
UACGAAGGGGGCUAGCGUUGCUCGGAAUCACUGGGCGUAGAGCGCACGUAGGCGGAUCUUUAAGUCAGGGGUGAAAUCCUGGAGCUCAACUCCAGAACUGCCUUUGAUACUGGGGAUCUCGAGUCCGGAAGAGGUGAGUGGAACUCCGAGUGUAGAGGUGAAAUUCGUAGAUAUUCGGAAGAACACCAGUGGCGAAGGCGGCUCACUGGUCCGGUACUGACGCUGAGGUGCGAAAGCGUGGGGAGCAAACAGG